rnacentral:rRNA from 1 species
GAUGAACGCUGGCGGCGUGCCUAAUACAUGCAAGUCGAGCGAAUGGAUUAAGAGCUUGCUCUUAUGAAGUUAGCGGCGGACGGGUGAGUAACACGUGGGUAACCUGCCCAUAAGACUGGGAUAACUCCGGGAAACCGGGGCUAAUACCGGAUAACAUUUUGAACCGCAUGGUUCGAAAUUGAAAGGCGGCUUCGGCUGUCACUUAUGGAUGGACCCGCGUCGCAUUAGCUAGUUGGUGAGGUAACGGCUCACCAAGGCAACGAUGCGUAGCCGACCUGAGAGGGUGAUCGGCCACACUGGGACUGAGACACGGCCCAGACUCCUACGGGAGGCAGCAGUAGGGAAUCUUCCGCAAUGGACGAAAGUCUGACGGAGCAACGCCGCGUGAGUGGUGAAGGCUUUCGAGUCGUAAAACUCUGUUGUUAGGGAAGAGCAAGUGCUAGUUGAAUAAGCUGGCACCUUGACGGUACCUAACCAGAAAGCCACGGCUAACUACGUGCCAGCCGCCGCAGUAA